rnacentral:rRNA from 1 species
ACGAACGCUGGCGGCGUGCCUAACACAUGCAAGUCGAGCGGAGCUAAUAGAAAUAUUAGUUUAGCGGCGGACGGGUGAGUAACGCGUGGGCAACCUGCCUCACACUGGGGGAUAACACAGGGAAACUUGUGCUAAUACCGCAUAACAUCAUGAAAGGACAUCCUUUUAUGAUCAAAGGAGCAAUCCGGUGAGAGAUGGGCCCGCGUCCAAUUAGCUAGUUGGUGAUGUAACGGACCACCAAGGCGACGAUUGGUAGCCGAACUGAGAGGUUGAUCGGCCACAUUGGGACUGAGAUACGGCCCAGACUCCUACGGGAGGCAGCAGUGGGGAAUAUUGCGCAAUGGGGGAAACCCUGACGCAGCAACGCCGCGUGAAGGAUGAAGGUUUUCGGAUCGUAAACUUCUUUGAUGGGGGACGAAACAAAUGACGGUACCCCAAAAACAAGCCACGGCUAACUACGU